GCAGUCACGAGAAUCUGGGAAGCUCUCAAUGGCCAGCCAGGACAACGACGUACAGCGAUGUUCAUGGUGGAACUAGUCCUGGUGAGAGCAGAUGUCGCCCGUUGCCAAGUAUGCCAUCACCUUGGUGACGUCCACAUCAAGAUCGGUGCUGGUGUGUACGCCCGGACCUGAACUGUUAAGUGAUGUUGUAUGGAAAGGCAUUGAAAGUGUAAAACAUCUUGCAAAUAAGGGCUGGAACUGAUUGGCAUGACAGAAAGUAAUUAUAAAUGAUUUGUGAUGUUGCAUUUAUAGCUUUAACCGAUCUUGCCGUUUCACUGUCUUCCUGAGGCAUUGUUGGUAGGGCUGAUCACGAUCUGUUGGUCGGUUGUAAGCUCCGUUACCUUUUUCCGAAACGUUUCGGGCCCCAAAAAUCCAGUUAACUCAGGCGCGCGACCAGGGCCCGCUAGGGGCCCAAAAGCGCAAAUUUCCUAAGGUCCGGUACGUACCUUUUUCCGAAACGUUUCGGGCCCCAAAAAUUCAGUUAACUCAGACGCGCGACCAGGGCCCGCUAGGGGCCCAAAAGCGCAAAUUUCCUAAGGUCCGGUACGUACCUUUUUCCGAAACGUUUCGGGCCUCAAAAAUCCAGUUAACUCAGACGCGCGAUCAGGGCCCGCUAGGGGCCAAAAAGCGCAAAUUUCCUAAGGUCCGGUACCUUUUUCCGAAACGUUUCGGUCCCCAAAAAUCCAGUUAACUCAGGCGCGCGACCAGGGCCCGCUAGGGGCCCAAAAGCGCAAAUUUCCUAAGGUUUUUCCGAAACGUUUCGGGCCUCAAAAAUCCAGUUAACACAGACGCGCGACCAGGGCCCGCUAGGGGCCCAAAAGCGCACAUUUUCUAAAGUCCGGUACCUUUUUCCGAAACGUUUCGGGCCUCAAAAAUCCAGUUAACUCAGACGCGCGACCAGGGCCCGCGACCAGGACUUUCCUCGUUCUGUGAGCUAAUGACUGCCUGGGUUUUUCUUCCAUCUGUUGUUCUUUGUUUUAUGUCGUGGUCAGUGGUUGUCGGGAACCUAGACCAUUACAUAAUCUGCCUUGUGUCAUUAUCUUGGGUCCCGAACCAAGACAGUGACACAGCGUCAGAAAGGAAGGCAGGUGGUUGAAGAGCUUAGGUUGUUACGAGCUUACAGAAUCAGGGAGGUCCUUGUUCUCUGAAGGGCCGAACUUUGCAGUAACUUCGGAUGCAAUCUCGGCCAUCAACAUGGUCACAGAAACCGAAUUAGCCAUGCAUAGGGCCUGUAUGCCGCAGAAACAGGCUGAAGCGCUGUGUGUAGAAGUAGCCACUGCUCUCAGAAUGUAGUCUCCAAGCAGACCCUACGGUGCCUUAGAAAUAGUAUCAAAGCUGGCAAGCCCGUUUGACUCCCUUAGCCGGCUAUCUCCCUUUGGCCGGCUAUAACUCCUUUGCCAGCUUUGAUAUUGUUUCCAAGGCACCGUAGGGUCUGCUUGGAGACUACUCAGAAUGUCCAAACUCUUACCAGCAACAUGACUUGGGCGGCAAGGUGUUGAGUACAUUUUGACGACACCCCAUCAGGAGAUCCUGAUUCUCUCCGCUGAUAAUGCUUCAGGUAGACAGAGAGGAUGGUACAUGUCUAGGUUGAACCUAGAACUGAAAUUAUCAUCACAGAUCCAAGUUUACUUCCUGCCGUGCCUCCAACAGUGUAUACACCUUUCUCACGCGGCGGCCAUGAUAGAUCUAAAACGAGUUCAAUGCGGCAAACAAAAGACUUUUCUGUGAAGUCAAAAAUUUUGUGGUUUGGGGAAAAACUAAAUGGCACCUGAUUUUAGAAAUAAGUUUUGUCUGUUUGCCUCAUUGACCUCGUCUUCGAUCUAUCAUGGCCGCCGCGCGAGAAAGGUGUAUAGAUGUUCUUGUUAAUGAUCUAUCAAGGAAUGUAAAUUGUACGAUGUCGGUCACCAUGUAUAUUGCAAUGCCAGAUACAUGUAUUUAAGUCCUUUCUUAAUGCUUUGUUUCAACAAAAUGUAUUGCUAUCAUGCCAUUCUAGGAUAGGAGUAGUGGUGCGUACCUAAAGCCCGGACUUGGAAUUGGACCUAAAAAUGUUUAGGUCCAAGUCCAAAAAAAA